rnacentral:rRNA from 1 species
CACGUAGGGGGCAAGCGUUGUCCGGAUUUAUUGGGCGUAAAGAGCUCGUAGGCGGUUCGGUAAGUCGGGUGUGAAACCUCCAGGCUCAACCUGGAGACGCCACCCGAUACUGCUGUGACUCGAGUCCGGUAGGGGAGCGUGGAAUUCCUGGUGUAGCGGUGAAAUGCGCAGAUAUCAGGAGGAACACCGGUGGCGAAGGCGGGUCUCUGGGCAGUAACUGACGCUGAGAAGCGAAAGCGUGGGUAGCGAACAGG